rnacentral:lncRNA from 1 species
AUGAUCCCCACCCAAAUCGGAGAGAGCAUCCUCUCCCCGAGUGCCUCAGGGGCUCUGCCCCCCCUUCCCUUUUCCUGGGCAGUGACAAAUUUGCAAACCCAACCUGUGAUGGCCAGAAAUCCUCCCACCAUGGCUGGGUCCAGCCACUGGUCACCGUGCCGGGGAUGGAUCCAGCGUGGGCUCAUCCUCGCUGUGUCUGGGGGCAUCGGGGCAGAAUGUGGCUCUAAAAGCACCAGGGUCCCCCCUGGUCCUUGCUCCCCUCAUGGGAGACUUUCUUGUCCCCCCACAGCUGUCCAGGAGCAGCAGCAGCCACCACUGGCCGAGGACAACACGGUACACACCAUCUACUCCCAGGUGCAGCGGGUGGAGAAGCAGAAAGGGCUCCCCGUCACCGAGCACCCCUCCUGCACCACCAUCUACGCUGCAGCCACCGGCUUGCCCCCGGACACGGCCCCGUCCCCCCGCAGAGCCCCCCGUCAUCCUCACAGCCCCCAGACACAGCCCCCCGCCCAUCAGGGCCACUUGUCCCUCUCACAGGUAAGGCUGGCUGCCCCCCUCGACCCCCCAGGGGCAUCAGCCCAGCUGGGCAUCACUGUGGGGCAACCCAUGGACUCCCCCCUCCAACUCAAACACCUCACCAACCCCUUUGCCCCCUUCCUCUUUGCCACAGAGCCCCGACAAGGAGCCCACGACGGUUUAUGCCAGCGUGAUGAUGCCCGUGGCCUGAGCAUCUCCAGGCAGGGGGGACCCCCUCUGUUUGCUAGGCACCCACAUUGACAUUCCCAGCUGGAGAAAACCCCACUCAUCCCUGGGGAAUGGGGGCAAAACCCUCCGGCGUGGGCUGACCCCCACCCACAGCUCAACCGGGGAUGCUCCGAAGGCUGCGGAGGCUGCUCCGAAGGCAGGGAUGAGGCAAAGCAGGAAUCUCCCCGGAGUAUGGCUGAGGGCGGCUGGGAAGAUGCUGAAGGACCAGGAGAGGAUGGAGGGGCUAUGGAUACGACCCGGCAGAAGGCAUGAGCCGAGGGAUGGCAGGGAUGAGGCAAAGCAGGAAUCUCCCCGGAGUAUGGCUGAGGGCGGCUGGGAAGAUGCUGAAGGACCAGGAGAGGAUGGAGGGGCUAUGGAUACGACCCGGCAGAAGGCAUGAGCCAGGGGGGAGAGAAUUGGUCUCGGAGGGGAAGGCUCAGCACGUUGGCACCGCGUGGCAGCACAGGGAAGCGUGGCCGGAGGAGUUUUAUCCCCCCAAGCUCAUCCCUGCCCCAUUGGUUUUCACCCCACAACCUCAUCCCGUGGCCCCGGCUUCACUAGAGGGAGCCCCGGGCUCGUGACAGCCGGUGACACCGAUGGCGACCCCACAACGGGGUAAAAUCCGAAAGGGUGGGUUUUUUUAACAUCCACCUUCGCCCCAGUAAGGAAAAACCCUGGUUUUGACUGAAGCCGAGUCCUGCCGGGCUCCUUCAUUCCUCCAGCGCUGGGAAGGAAGCAGCCGUUUCCCACCGUGCUCUUCCAGCCCCCUCCUUUUGCACUGACGGCUCUGGAGACAACAAAGACCUGCUGGGGGGGUGACAAUUUCAAGCUGAAUUUCUGGCUGAUAGAGGAAAGACAGGACCUGGCUGUGGCCUGGCCACCCUCAGCCCAAAGCAGCUCUCCCCUUCCUUGGAGAAAUGGCCGGCGUGGGGAUGCUGGAGUGGCCCAGAGGAGGGAUCAAGGCUGUAAAAAUCUCUUUCUCAUUCUGCUCCCCCCCAAAUCUGAACUGGUUUAUAACCCCGAGAGAACUCACCCCCUGCGGCAGGUCUGAUCCCCUCUGCUGCUGACAAGGGAAAGGAAAAUAAAUUUAUAGGAAAGCCUUUUGGAAAGGUUGGC